rnacentral:lncRNA from 1 species
AUGAUUCGAGAACAUAUUUACGGUGUGUUAUUUUAUUUAUUCUCUAUUUUACUUUUUUCCUAUUUAAAUUGGCAGGGCAAGAGAAGAAAAAUAUAUCACAGUCUUUGCUGUGGGGUAGUUACUCAAAUCACUUUCCAUGUUAUUUUUGGUACUGGUUUGACAGAAGCAACCAGCAAGGACAGAAGAAUUGACUGCAAUGAUGUUUUUGGAGGCAUAUGCUGUCAUACAUGUAGAUGACUUAAUAUAUUCAUUACAGUGUACAAUAAUACGGUAUCCAGUUCUACAACUUAAAGAGAUGGAGACAUGCUUCUAUCAGAAGUGUCAGAGAGAAGAGUGAGUGACAUACAGCCAAGUCUUUCGUAGCUUAAUUCAGGUGGAGUGAAGCUCCUGUACUGUGAAGUGACGUGAAAUGACCGUGGCCAAGAUCAUACAACCUGACGAUAGAGCAGAGAAGAUUAUGCCAUCUCCACAUCCUUCUUCUCAUCCCAUAUCCUUUAGAGAGUAAACUUUACAAACAGAAUGGGUUUACUGUAGUAAGAAACAUUUAGCUGUUUUUGUGGCAGACAAGUGAAAUGAUAAGAGUCCUUCUCAUUGUAAUGUAUCAACUGCUAAAUGACUCCCAGAGGAGGCUAGUGAUGUUUUUCUUUCACUCUUCAGAGUAUCUCAUUACAUGAAAGGAAUACUAAGAAGAAUGACUGGGUGGAUUUUCCACACUCCGUCACUUGCUGUAGAAUGAUUCAAGAAAUUCCUAAAACAUAAUUAGUUUACAGAUGGAGUAAGCCAGAUUGUCACAAAAAGGGUAGAAUAAUUCAAUUGCACAGAAGACUCCCCCAUUUCUACCCUGACUAUUAGAAACCAUUUGAUAGUACUAGUCUUAGAGAAGCUGAAAACUAUUACUGCACAUCAGAUAGGUAUUAUCUGUCAUUUUGUUUUCAUUAAUUUUAGUUGCAGAGAGGUAAAAUAUAAAACUCAUCACAUUAGAGAAAUGGUUCUGUAUCUUGGGUAUGGCUCAGAGAGCAUUCAAGUUCCCAAACAGGAAUAUUACUUACAAGCUUGGACAGCCUUGUAGAAAAUGUGACUGGCUUACAAAGACAUCUAAAAUCAAAUGAAUGGCUCAAAUGGCUCAAAUGAACCAUGGAGUUACCUAUGAGUAAGUAUGUACAUAAAACCAGGACCGUUGCCUUCAAUUUGGAAAAGUUAACGAACUACUUCUAUUGAUUGUGCUCUAUGUUCAGCUGCACGUGCCACCAGUGUGCAAAUUGGGUGACUUUCACUUAAAUUUAUUUGCAAUGCAGAAGAGUGAGUGAGUAUAAAUAAACAACACAUAGGAACAUCUGUAAUUACCGAA